rnacentral:rRNA from 1 species
GACGAACGCUGGCGGCGUGCCUAAUACAUGCAAGUAGAACGCUGAAGAGAGGAGCUUGCUCUUCUUGGAUGAGUUGCGAACGGGUGAGUAACGCGUAGGUAACCUGCCUGGUAGCGGGGGAUAACUAUUGGAAACGAUAGCUAAUACCGCAUAACAACAGUUGUUGCAUGACAGCUGUUUAAAAGAUGCAAUUGCAUCACUACCAGAUGGACCUGCGUUGUAUUAGCUAGUUGGUGAGGUAACGGCUCACCAAGGCGACGAUACAUAGCCGACCUGAGAGGGUGAUCGGCCACACUGGGACUGAGACACGGCCCAGACGCCUACGGGAGGCAGCAGUAGGGAAUCUUCGGCAAGGGGGGGAACCCUGACCGAGCAACGCCGCGUGAGUGAAGAAGGUUUUCGGAUCGUAAAGCUCGGUUGUAAGAGAAGAACGGGUGUGAGAGUGGAAAGUUCACACUGUGACGGUAUCUUACCAGAAAGAGACGGCUAACUACGUG